UCUACAGCAGGGCAUAAUAUGAAGAUAACACUACAAAAAUAAUCAAGAUGUGUCUAAAGGAGAAAAAUAAAUAAUCAUUAUCAAUAAUGAUGUUUGGUGAAAUAUUCUAUCUCUUAUUGAAGAAAAUAUAAGAUCAUCUUUAAGUAUAAACUCAGUAGCAGCAAUUUUCUACAAAAGUACAUCAAGGAGAGUCAUGAGUCAUCCACAAGGAGUAUGCAGUUGGAAAGUCCAGUGUAAGCUGCUUGUGGUUUAUGCACACAUUUACAACAGAAUGGCAAUA
rnacentral:lncRNA from 1 species